rnacentral:rRNA from 1 species
UACGGGAGGCAGCAGUGGGGAAUAUUGCACAAUGGGCGCAAGCCUGAUGCAGCCAUGCCGCGUGUAUGAAGAAGGCCUUCGGGUUGUAAAGUACUUUUCAGCGGGGAGGAAGGCGGUGAAGUUAAUAGCUUCACCGAUUGACGUUACCCGCAGAAGAAGCACCGGCUAACUCCGUGCCAGCAGCCGCGGUAAUACGGAGGGUGCAAGCGUUAAUCGGAAUUACUGGGCGUAAAGCGCACGCAGGCGGUCUGUCAAGUCGGAUGUGAAAUCCCCCGGGCUUAACCUGGGAACUGCAUUCGAAACUGGCAGGCUAGAGUCUUGUAGAGGGGGGUAGAAUUCCAGGUGUAGCGGUGAAAUGCGUAGAGAUCUGGAGGAAUACCGGUGGCGAAGGCGGCCCCUGGGACAAAGCUGACGCUCAGGUGCGAAAGCGUGGGGAGCAAACGAGGAUUAGGAUACC